rnacentral:rRNA from 1 species
UACAGAGGUGGCAAGCGUUGUUCGGAAUUAUUGGGCGUAAAGCGCAUGUAGGUGGUUUUGUAAGUUUGAUGUGAAAUCCCUCGGCUCAACCGGGGAACUGCGUCUGAGACUGAUGAGCUCGAGUGCAGGAGAGGAACGCGGAAUUCCAGGUGUAGCGGUGAAAUGCGUAGAUAUCUGGAGGAACACCGGUGGCGAAGGCGGCGUUCUGGACUGCAACUGACACUGAGGGACGAAAGCCAGGGGAGCAAACGGG